AAGGUGGGCUAAUCACGGUUGGACAUCGUGAGGUUAGUGCAAUGGCAUAAGCCCGCUUAACUGCGAGAAUGACGGUUCGAGCAGGUGCGAAAGCAGGUCAUAGUGAUCCGGUGGUUCUGUAUGGAAGGGCCAUCGCUCAACGGAUAAAAGGUACUCCGGGGAUAACAGGCUGAUACCGCCCAAGAGUUCAUAUCGACGGCGGUGUUUGGCACCUCGAUGUCGGCUCAUCACAUCCUGGGGCUGAAGUCGGUCCCAAGGGUAUGGCUGUUCGCCAUUUAAAGUGGUACGCGAGCUGGGUUUAGAACGUCGUGAGACAGUUCGGUCCCUAUCUGCCGUGGGCGUUGGAAGAUUGAAGGGGGCUGCUCCUAGUACGAGAGGACCGGAGUGGACGAACCUCUGGUGUUCGGGUUGUGUCGCCAGACGCAUUGCCCGGUAGCUAAGUUCGGAAUUGAUAAGCGCUGAAAGCAUCUAAGCGCGAAGCGAGCCCUGAGAUGAGUCUUCCCUGAUACUUUAAGUAUCCUAAAGGGUUGUUCGAGACUAGAACGUUGAUAGGCAGGGUGUGUAAGCGUUGUGAGGCGUUGAGCUAACCUGUACUAAUUGCCCGUGAGGCUUAACCAU
rnacentral:rRNA from 1 species